rnacentral:rRNA from 1 species
AACGGCCGUACCAUGCUGAAUAUACCGGUUCUCGUUAGAUCACCGAAGUUAAGCAUCGUUGGGCGCGGUCAGUACUUGGGUGGGUGACCACCUGGAAACACUGCGUGCCGUU